rnacentral:rRNA from 1 species
CUGUUUAUCAAAAACAWGUCUUUAAGAUUAUAAUUUAAAGUYUAAUUUGCUCCAUGAUUAAAAAUUAAAUAGCUGCAGAAUUUUAACUGUACAAAGGUAGCAUAAUCAAUAGUUUUUUAAUUGAAAGCUGGAAUGAAUGAUUUGAUAAGGAAAAUAUUGUUUCUAAUUUAAUAAUAUUAGAAUUUUUUUUUUAGUAAAAAUACUAAAAAAAAUUUAAAAGACGAGAAGACCCUAUAGAUUUUUAUAUUUUUUUUUAAAAAUUAUAAUAAAUUAAUAAAUAUAUUUUUAUUAAAUAAAUAUUUAAUUGGGGUAAUUUUUAAAUUAAUAAAAUUUUAAAUUAUAAUAAACAAAAAUUAUUGAAUUUAUGAUCUUUAAGUUAAAAUUAAGAGAAUUAAAUACCUUAGGGAUAACAGCGUAAUUUUUUUAGAGAGAUCAUAUUAAUAAAAAAGUUUGCGACCUCGAUGUUGAAUUAAGAUAAAAUUUUAAUGAAGAAGUUAAAAAUUUUUGGYCUGUUCRACCAUUAAAAUCUUAC